rnacentral:rRNA from 1 species
UGGGCAACCUGCCCCUCUCUCUGGGAUAACCCCGGGAAACCGGAGCUAAUACCGGAUACUCCGGCUGGAUCGCAUGGUCCGGCCGGGAAAGGUCCGCCGGAGAGGGAUGGGCCCGCGGCCUAUCAGCUUGUUGGUGGAGUCAUGGCUCACCAAGACGACGACGGGUAGCUGGUCUGAGAGGACGACCAGCCACACUGGAACUGAGAUACGGUCCAGACCUCCGUACGGGAGGCAGCGAGGUGGGGUAAA